rnacentral:rRNA from 1 species
CGGGUGAGUAACACGUGAGCAACCUGCCUUUCAGUGGGGGACGACAGUUGGAAACGACUGCUAAUACCGCAUAACGUGCCGGAAGGGCAUCCUUUUGGUACCAAAGAUUUAUCGCUGAAAGAUGGGCUCGCGUCUGAUUAGAUAGUUGGUGAGGUAACGGCCCACCAAGUCGACGAUCAGUAGCCGGACUGAGAGGUUGAUCGGCCACAUUGGGACUGAGACACGGCCCAGACUCCUACGGGAGGCAGCAG